rnacentral:sRNA from 1 species
GAUUAAAAACCAGAAACUAAUUGGCAUUUAAUUAAUACCCUAAAUUAACUUUUAAGUUUAUAUUUGUGUACCUUUUCCUCCUCGAGAAUAACUUGCAUGCAAGGACUUUUAUCUUUGGGCUAAAGCUCUUAUUAUUCCAUUUUGUUUUGAAGAGUUUUGUAGGGAGGUAGGAGUAUAAUCCAGUAGGGCAUUGGUAUGUUCAACUUGAAUCAUGUAAAAUCAGAGAAAAAGUAAUAUGUGAUCAAUAUAAAAUGAAAUUGAAUACAGAGUAGUCAUAAAUCUAGAUCAGUGACUUUGCUAAAUUCAGUGAAUACGAUAAACACGGAAAUGAAACGACUAAGAGAAGACAAACUGGCAAUAGAGAUUAGAAACAGGAAAAGAGAUGAAUAUGAUAAAACGAUGGAAAUUAAAAGUGAGAAAAUAGAUAAGAGGAGUUGAUUGUUGGGAGUUAAAUAAGAGAUCAAACAGUUUCAGAUCGUGACAUAUUUUAUAUUGAACGUGGUUUGUGGUAGUUUGAGCAAAUUUAGGGAUGUAAGAUUUUUGGAGUUUUAGAAAUGCAGUUUUUUUUCUCUUUUUUUUUUAGCUUUUUUCUCUUUUCUUUUACGUACCACUAUUUUGUUAUUAACUAUUUUUAAUUUUUUUUUUAAAUUAA